rnacentral:rRNA from 1 species
UGAGUAAAGCGGCGCACGGGUGAGUAACGCGUGGAUAAUCUACCCUCGGGUGUGGGAUAACCCGCCGAAAGGCGGAUUAAUACCGCAUAAGACCACAGAACUCAAGUUCUGCGGUUAAAGGUAGGGACCCUUCGGGGCCUAUCGCUUGAGGAUGAGUCCGCGUCCUAUCAGUUUGUUGGUGAGGUAACGGCUCACCAAGGCUUAGACGGGUAGCUGGUCUGAGAGGACGAUCAGUCACACUGGCACUGGAACACGGGCCGGACUCCUACGGGAGGCAGCAGUGGGGAAUCUUGCGCAAUGGGCGAAAGCCUGACGCAGCGACGUCGUGUGAGGGAAGAAGGCCUUCGGGUCGUAAACCUCUGUCAGGGGGGAAGAAACUUCCAGGGGUUAAUAGCCUCUGGGAUUGACGGUACCCUCAGAGGAAGCAUCGGCUAACUACGUGCCAGCAGCCGCGGUAAUACGUAGGAUGCAAGCGUUGCUCGGAAUCACUGGGUGUAAAGAGCGCGUAGGUGGCCUGACAAGUCAAGGGUGAAAUCCCUCGGCUCAACCGAGGAAUUGCCUUUGAUACUGUUAGGCUUGAGUACGGGAGAGGGAAGCGGAAUUUCUGGUGUAGCGGUGAAAUGCGUAGAUAUCAGAAGGAACACCGGCGGCGAAGGCGGCUUCCUGGACCGAUACUGACACUGAGGCGCGAAAGCGUGGGGAGCAAACAGGAUUAGAUACCCUGGUAGUCC